GGUUUCCGUAGGUGAAGUCAUAGCUGUCUCAAAGAUUAAGCCAUGCAUGUGUAAGUAUAAACAACUUGUACUUGUGAAACUGCGAAUGGCUCAUUACAACAGUUAUGAUUUAUUUGACAAUGAAGAAGAAUGAAUGAUGUCUUUACUACAUGGAUAGCCGUAGUAAUUCUAGAGCUAAUACAUGCGAGUGUCUUUAGUUUUGCUUGGAUGUGUCAAAAGCAUUCUAGGCAGGAUGGGGCACGAUUAGAAAGAUCCGACUUGGAAAGGAAGGAUGGUAUUUAUUAGAUCGAAAACCAAUAGCAGUGGUUGAAAUCUUUGUCCAUGAGACAGGGGAACCUACUGUGAUGAUUGAUUGAUGAAUCAUGAUAAAUGUCGAAUUGACUCCCAACAAAAGGGGGGUUUGGUUGCCGAGCGAUCGGUGGGCAGAUCUUUCUCGGGAGACGAUGUGUCAUAUAAAUUUCUGACCUAUCAACUUUUGAUGGUAGGAUAGAGGCCUACCAUGGUAUUGACGGGUAACGGAGAAUUAGGGUUUGAUUCCGGAGAGGGAGCCUGAGAGAUGGCUACCACUUCCAAGUGAAGGCAGCAGGCGCGCAAAUUACCCAAUCCCGACUAUGUUACGGGGAGGUAGUGACAAAAAAUAACAAUACGGGGUGUCUAAUGGCAUUCUGCAAUUGUCAUGGUUCUAAUGUAAAUGCUUAGAAGAGAAACGAUUAGAGGGCAAGUCUGGUGCCAGCAGCCGCGGUAAUUCCAGCUCUAAUAGUGUAUACUAAAAUUGCUGCAGUUAAAAAGCUCGUAGUUGGAUUUAGAAAUCUUAGACGUUGCUGCAGUUGACACCCGCUGGUGCUCGCAAGAGUGUUGGAGAUGGGUCACUGUGGUGGACAGUAUUGUCUUCUCAGCUUGUGUUUGUUUAGCUGGUGUAAAAGAGCAAUCUUCUAUAUCAGUGAAACCAGCAUAAGUGUUAUAAGGCAUGACUGUAAUGGGUUAUGCUUUGUGCCGAUGAUUCUAGUGAUAAAGCUUUCUCGUUAUGAUAGGGAUAAGUUACUCGAAAGAGGCUUUCUACUAAAUUGAGAGGCGCUAGAAGGCACUGGGAAGAGGCUCUGUUGUGGUUAUAAUGGACUGCAAUGGGGUAAGGUUUAUUGAUUCGGAGUUGUCGAGGAAGCACUUAAAUGCUGUUUCUGUUUUCGAUUAAGGCAGGGUUCAUUAGCGUGGAUUCUGUUGAAUUCCGGAGAUUUUACUUUGAAGAAAAUGGAGUGUUCAAAGCAGGCGUUUGUUUGCCUAUAACGGGCAGAGAAAGAUCGCAACUGAACACAUUAGCAUGGAAUAAUAAAACAAGACACUUGAUUAGGAAUGAAAGGGCUUUGAUGUCAAGCAAGGCUUGUUGUUCGUCGAGUAAAAUUGGCGGAUGACCAGGACUAAUUAUCUAGCUCGAUUGUUGGGAUAGAUAUUUGUAUUUUAUUGGUUUAUGAAAGAGGUGUAAUGAUUAAGAGGGACAGUUGGGGGUAUCUGUAUUGCAUUGUCAGAGGUGAAAUUCUUGGAUUUAUGCAAGACAAACAAGUGCGAAAGCAUUUACCAAGGAUGUUUUCAUUAAUCAAGAACGAAAGUUAGGGGAUCGAAGGCGAUCAGAAACCGCCCUAGUCUUAACUAUAAACGAUGCCAACUAGGGAUUGACGGGAUGAUAUUCGUCAGAGUUUGGUCUGUAAAAAGGAUCACUCUGAAGAGGAUAUUGCUUUUAAAUAUAUAUGAAUAUGCAGUAAAUGGUGGCGAGACGGACAACCUACCGGCCUUGCCGAUAUGAGUCUACAUAUUCUUUAAGCCCUGCCAGCACCUUUAGAGAAAUCGAAGAAGUCUCUGGGUUCUGGGGGGAGUAUGGUCGCAAGUCUGAAACUUAAAGAAAUUGACGGAAGGGCACCACCAGGUGUGGAGCCUGCGGCUUAAUUUGACUCAACACGGGGAAACUUACCAGGUCCAGACACGGGAAGGAUUGACAGAUUGAUAGUUCUUUCUUGAUUCCGUGGGUGGUGGUGCAUGGUCGUUCUUAGUUGGUGGAGUGAUUUGUCUGGUUAAUUCCGAUAACGAACGAGACCUCAACCUGCUAAAUAGGAUGAUGAUUUAUGAUUCACGUGCUUUGUGUCUGUGAUGUUUGUUUUUGACUUUGUGUGUGCCUUGUGCACGGAUGAGGUUGGAGAUGGAUGAGCAGAUAUUGAAGGAUGGGGAUGUAAAAUUUAGGAUAAUUCGCUAUGCUUAUAUGGUGUAGAUGUUAGAGGUUUGUUGCUGAGCAAUCGGUGAUGACAGCUAGCUGAUAACUGUAUAAGUGAAUUAUUGAAAUCAUUAUUUUGAAAUAUAUUUAGUGUGAUUGUCUCUGGAAUGAUGAGUUUCGGCUUGUUGUUUUAGAGGGGAUUGUACUAAACCUGCUUAGAGGGACUACCAUGGUUGCACAUGGGGGAAGCAUGAGGCAAUAACAGGUCUGUGAUGCCCUUAGAUGUCCUGGGCCGCACGCGCGCUACACUGAUGAAGUCAACGAGUUGUUGUUACUGCCCCUUUGAAAUAAAAGGAUGCAAGUUAUGCGACUGUACAAGGGCCUUCACGGGUUCUUGCUUGCAGAUGUAUUUGACUUGUAUUCUCAAAGGGAUGGUGAUUUCCUUAUCCGAAAGGAUUGGGUAAUCUUGUGAAACUUUAUCGUGAUGGGGAUUGAUCUUUGUAAUUUUGGAUCAUGAACGAGGAAUACCUAGUAAGCGCAAUUCAUCAGAUUGCGUUGAUUACGUCCCUGCCCUUUGUACACACCGCCCGUCGCUCCUACCGAUUGAAUGAUCAGAUGAAAUGUUUGGAUUGGUGGGUUGUAGGAAAGCAUGUAGUGUGUUAUGAUUUCGGUUGUAGUGCGCUAUUUUUUCUGGAGCCUAGUGAGAAGAACAGUGAAUCUUAUUAUUUAGAGGAAGGAGAAGUCGUAAC
rnacentral:rRNA from 1 species